rnacentral:lncRNA from 1 species
CUGAGACGCCUCCUGUCCCACGCUCUCCGGUGUCCGUGUCUACACAGGGGUCCCCAUGAUACCCACCGGCCCCAGCAGGGCAGACCGGACCGGGGACGGGCACGGUGAAGGGCUGCAGCCUGGGGUCUGACGUGGCCCCUAGUGCUGUCUCAGGAGAAGGCUCUGGAGGACUUGAGGCAUGCUGGGCCUGGUGCAGUGAUGGCGCUAAGGAGACCCGGGGAAAGACAGUAUCGUGGUCACGUAUGCUUAGGAAGCAGCACAGCCGUGUCCUUAGGGAUGUUCGCGUCCAGUAAAGACACUGGUAACUGCGGUUUCAGCCAACACUCUUCAUGGCAGUGUCGACCUCGGGUUAGCUUCUGUUGUCUUUGUGGAUGGUUUUCCUGGAGCGGCCUGACGUUGACGUGUUCUCUGGUCCCAUGUCUUAGCGGGGCAUGGUACGGUUUCGUGCCUGACGCGUGCAUUAGGGUGUUCUCUUAUACUUUCAGUAGCAUCUUUCCACAGCAAGGGCCAAACCCUCCUGGUUCCCUUCAGAGUCUUUUUGGCCUGAUGAUGACUCUUGAGUGAUACCCUGUGAUGCAGACAUGCCCCAGAUGGAUUCUACUUUCUUUAAAACUAGGGACUUUCAAGAUUAAAAAAAAGAUUGUCACUACUAAUUUGACGCCUAACUUCAGAAGCUUCACUGUCUACAUGUGAACUUUUCCAGAAAAACUGUGCCAUGGACAUUUUUCCUCUGGGGAAUUAACAUCUAAAUUCUGGUAACUAUUAAAAGACAGAUCUGGUUAAUUU